rnacentral:rRNA from 1 species
CCUACGGGCGGCUGCAGUCGAGAAUCAUUCACAAUGGGGGAAACCCUGAUGGUGCGACGCCGCGUGGGGGAAUGAAGGUCUUCGGAUUGUAAACCCCUGUCAUGUGGGAGCAAAUUAAAAAGAUAGUACCACAAGAGGAAGAGACGGCUAACUCUGUGCCAGCAGCCGCGGUAAUACAGAGGUCUCAAGCGUUGUUCGGAAUCACUGGGCGUAAAGCGUGCGUAGGCUGUUGCGUAGGUCGUGUGUGAAAGGCGCGGGCUCAACCCGCGGACGGCACAUGAUACUGCGAGACUAGAGUAAGGGAGGGGGAACCGGAAUUCUCGGUGUAGGAGUGAAAUGCGUAGAUAUCGAGAGGAACACUCGUGGCGAAGGCGGGUUCCUGGACAUUAACUGACGCUGAGGCACGAAGGCCAGGGGAGCGAAAGGGAUUAGAUACCCCAGUAGUC